GAUGAACGCUGGCGGCGUGCCUAAUACAUGCAAGUAGAACGCUGAAGCUUGGUGCUUGCACCGAGCGGAUGAGUUGCGAACGGGUGAGUAACGCGUAGGUAACCUGCCUCUUAGCGGGGGAUAACUAUUGGAAACGAUAGCUAAUACCGCAUAAAAGACGAUAUCGCAUGAUAUUGAUUUGAAAGGUGCAAAUGCAUCACUAAGAGAUGGACCUGCGUUGUAUUAGCUAGUUGGUGAGGUAACGGCUCACCAAGGCAACGAUACAUAGCCGACCUGAGAGGGUGAUCGGCCACACUGGGACUGAGACACGGCCCAGACUCCUACGGGAGGCAGCAGUAGGGAAUCUUCGGCAAUGGGGGCAACCCUGACCGAGCAACGCCGCGUGAGUGAAGAAGGUUUUCGGACCGUAAAGCUCAGUUGUAAGAGAAGAACGAGUGUGAGAGUGGAAAGUUCACACUGUGACGGUAACUACCAGA
rnacentral:rRNA from 1 species